AUUUACUUGAUUGCCUGAUUGAUCAAUAACAAGAUCACUUGCUGAUUGAGAACCCUAAGAUGGCAGGGGUAAAGUCAAAAUCGGACAACAGUAAAAUUACAGGAAGAAGACCUUCGCAAUCAGAAGAGGUUAACUUGAGAGAUAUUUUGAAAGAAAUUCAGAGACUGGCAAUAAAACAGGAUGAAUACCAAAAAGAAUCUCAGACAAAACUGGAUAAACAAAGCAUUCAGCAAAGGGAAAUAUGUGAGGAAACAGCAAAACAUCUUACAAAAAAAAGAUGGAUGACUUUGAACACAAAAAUGAAAAAAUCGAGAAAAUAGAAAAACUGCAGGAGAAACUUGAACAAAAUGAGAGAGAGUUCCAGCUACGAUUUCGGAAUGUGCAGGAGGAAGCAAAAGAAGAUAUCCGGCAGCUGGUAACUAAAAUGCUAGCUAACCUCUUAAAACGGCCAGAAGAAAGCAUGGAUAACGAAAUUGACAAAAUCUAUCGAAUCCAAACUAAUUUCUCAAGAAGAAACAAAGUAGCGAGAGAUAUCAUCGUUCACUUUGUAAAAAAAAGGAUAAGGGACGAGACCCUAAUCCAAAACAGUCGAAACCCAAUGUAUUAUAAAGGUAAAAAAGUAAUUGUACUAAAAGAAUUCCCACAAGCAACACUAAACAGAAGAAGGAAGUACUUCUUUCUGACUGAUGAACUGAAACGGCUGAAAAUAAGAUUCCGAUGGGAGAAAAAAGAAGGUAUAAUGGUUACAUAUAAAGAGGAAAAACAUUGGCUAACCUCAGAAGAGAAGGCCAAAGAUUUUUACAAGAAGCAUAUAAAAGGAAAAAGUGAAACACCCCCAGAAACUACUCCCCCCUCAGUCAAAAGAAAGAAAGCUAAAAGAGCCAGACAUCAUUCGGAGGAAAAACAGAAAUCUAGAAUGGAUACAUUUUAUAAAUUAGUAAACGUGACGGAUGAAGGAGAAGAAGAGGGAUCUGAGGAAGAAGAAGACGCAGAGGAGAAGGAAGCGGAAGAAGAAGAAGAGGGAAUUACGACGGGAAAAGAACAGGAAUCGGAGGACGACAAAGCACAGACGACACCUGAUGACCCCCACGAAACUGAUGAUGAGUAAGAAUGUAGUUCUAAACCACUUAAAAUUUAUUCUAACAAUAUAAAUGGAUUAAAUUCCCCAAUUAAAAGAAGAAGCUUAAUGUCCCAAUUGGGGAAAAACAAUUAUGACAUUACGGCAUUACAAGAGACCCACAUUGCAGCAAAACAUAGUAUACACCUGGUAAAUAGGAAAAUUAUAUCAUGUGACUCAACCAAAAAGAGGGGAGUGGUAUUAUAUAUUAAAGAAAAAAUCCCAGCUUCACUUCAGUUUAAAGACAUAGAGGGCAGAUAUAUAGCAGUAAAAAUUGAAAUUGACCAACAGUCUAUUCUCAUCUGUAACAUAUACGCCCCGAAUGGCCCCAAAACAAAAUUUAUAAGUGAAUUGAGGAAGCAUAUUUCAGAGGCUAAAUUCGACCAUUUGAUUCUUUUAGGAGACUUUAAUGGAAUUUUAAACACCGAAUUAGACACUAGUAAGAAAAUCAAGAGCAGAAAUUACGAAAAAACGAGACUACUCCCAAACAAUUUCAUAAGGCUGAAAGAAGAAUUUGACCUACAGGAUGCCUGGCGUUAUCAUAACCCAAGCGUACGCGAUUACACAUUUUAUUCGGACAGACAUAAAUCUUGGGCAAGAAUUGAUAUGAUUUGGCUCUCAAAUUCACUAUGCACUAGGAUAAAAGAGAUAAAAAUACAACCUCGAGAUAAAUCAGACCACUGUCCUCUUAUUAUUAGUAUCAAUAAAACAAAACGUAGUUUCAAAUGGAGAAUGGAUGAAAAUUUACUAAAAUUGGAGGCAGAUAUAAAUAAGAAUAAGAAAUUAGUGAAAGAGUUUUUCGAUUUGAACAACACACCAGAUAUAAAAGAACAAACAAUGUGGGAUGCAUUUAAAGCCGUAUUAAGAGGAUAUCUGAUCCAACAAAAAGCGGAGAAAAAUAGAAAGAAGAAUAAAGAACUAGAAGAUAUUAUGAAAGAAAUAAGGGGCUUUGAAGACCAAUUGAAAAAACAUCCGUCAAAUACGGAAAUAAUAAAAGAAUUAAAACUACGGAAAAAUAAGAAAAUAACGAAGGAAUUAGAGGCAACGGCAAAACAAUUAAAAUAUAUAAAACAAUACAAUUUUGAAAACGCGAACAAACCAGGUACUUGGCUAGCAAGAAAACUAAGAAAGAAUAAACAGCAGCAACAAAUAUCUAAGAUAAUUAGAGAUGGGAAACUAUAUGUAACGGACAAGGAAAUCCUAGGGGCAUUCAGGGAAUUUUAUGCUGAGUUAUACAAGAAAGAGGAGAUAAACCCAGAUAAAAUAUCCCAAUACUUGGGUGGACUUCAACUACCCAAAAUAACAGAACAACAGAGAGAAAGUUUAAAUAAAGAGAUAACAAUAGAGGAAAUUAAGAAAGUGUUAAAAGCAAUGAAACCAAACAAGGCACCUGGGCCAGAUGGUUUCCCAGUGUGCUUCUAUAAGGCACUACAAGAGGAGUCUUUACCGUACCUACAUAAAAUUAUGAAUAAGGUGUUGGCAAAGGGGGAGAUCCCGGAUUCUUGGUCUCAAGCAGAUAUAAUCGCUAUCCCAAAAGAAAAUGGGGAUUCAACUGAUAUGAGAAACUUUAGACCAAUUUCCUUACUAAACUCAGAUUAUAAAAUAUUUACAACAAUACUUGCGAACAGAUUCAAGGAACUUUUACAAAGUUGGAUUGGCCCAGAACAAAAAGGUUUUUUACCCGGUAGAAAUAUAAAUAAAAAUUUAAGAUGUAUAGUUGAUAUUAUUGAAUACUAUGAAUGGCAUCAUGAGAAAGAAUUAGCUUUACUUGCCAUAUACGCGGAAAAAGCAUUCGAUAAUUUAAAUUGGACCUUUUUUAAAUUACUUCUGAAAGAAGUAGAUAUAGGAUACCAAUUUUCAAACGCCAUUGAAGCAAUUUAUAACAAACAAGCGGCGAGCCUACUGAUCAAUGGACAACAGACAAAGCCCUUCGAGAUAGAAAAGGGGACAAGACAGGGAUGCCCCCUGUCACCACUCAUUUUUAUUUUUGCAUUGGAAACUCUAAUUAUCAAUAUUCAUAAAGAUCAAGGGUUAAAAGGAACAAAAAUAAGAAACCAGGAGUACAAAAUUCGAGCCUUUGCUGACGAUAUAAUUUGUAUAAUUGAAGAACCAAAACACCAAAUAAAUAAUUGGAUUACUAAAAUAGAAGAAUUUGGAAAACUAGCAGGAUGCAAAAUAAAUAAAUUAAAAUCAAAAAUUUUGACAAAAAAUAUCACCAAGGAAAGCCAAGGAAAACUUCAAGAGGUCUCAGGCAUAAAUGUAACAUCGAAACUUAAACACCUGGGCAUUAUACUAACGGCGAAAAAUGCUCAGUUAUUAAAGAAUAAUUAUCAAGAAAAAUGGAGGGCAAUCCAAAAAGACCUUAACCGGUGGAAAUUUAUGAACAUCUCUCUAUUAGGACGAAUAGCAAUAAUUAAAAUGAAUGUUUUGCCAAAAUUACUUUACUUAUUUCAAAAUUUACCAAUUAUUAGGAACAUAAAAAUUUUUAAUGAAUGGAAUAGAGAAAUAUCAAAAUUCAUAUGGAAAAAUAAAAAACCAAGGAUUAAAUACACAGUGUUGACAGAUGCGAAUAACAGAGGGGGAUUUGGUAUGCCGAACUUAAAAUUAUACUACGAAGCGUGCGCCCUAAAAUGGGUUAAAGAAUGGAUAAAUUUGACAGACGAAAAUAUCUUAACAUUGGAAGGAUUUGACCUUCGCAGGGUCUGGCACGCCUAUUUAUGGCAAGAGAAGAGAUUGGUAGAAAAAAACUUCAGCAACCAUUUCAUCAGGGCUUCAUUGAUAAAAAUUUGGGAAAGAUACAAAAACUUUUGUUACAACAAAACACCUCUGUGGGUUUCACCAUUGGAAGCGAAUCAAAGACACAUAUUAGGCUGGAAAGUCUGGCCAAGAUACAAGGAUAUACUAAAAAAAUCCGAAGGUACAUAUAUAAUGAAAAAUAUGGAAGAAUUGAGAGUUAAAUUUAGGAACUUAACUUGGUUUCAGUACGCACAACUAAAAGAACAAUUUAAAAAAGACAACUCCAGGGGUUUUUGUGAAGAGGAAGUAAUAUGGGACAGAAUAUUACAAAUUAAAAGGAAGGAAAUAUCGAAGAUUUAUAAUAUCUUACUGGACUGGUCUACUGAAACUGAAUCUGUAAAGCAAUGUAUGAUUAACUGGGCAAGGAAUAUUGGUCGUCCAAUAAAAUUUGAAGAAUGGGAACUAAUUUGGAACAAAAAACUAAAAUAUACAUAUGCCUGGGACCUAAAGGAGAAUUGGUUAAAAAAUUUUCACAGGUGGUAUAUGACUCCUAAAAAACUAGCACUUAUGUAUAAAAAUUAUGGUAAUAGAUGUUGGAAAUGUAAAAUACAUGAAGGAUCUUUCUACCACCUAUGGUGGACUUGUGAAAAAGUACAAAAAUUUUGGAGAACAAUUCACGAAGAGACUCAAAAAAUAUUGGACAAAAAGUUCCUCAUGAAGCCUGAACUAUAUUUAUUAGGUAUUGUGGACACUUCAAUAGAUUUGAGUACAAAUGAUGACAAACUUCUUAUAUAUAUCUCAUCAGCGGCCAGAAUAAUUUUAGCAAAACAAUGGAAAACUGAACAGAUCCUAGAGAUUGAGCAGUGGCUGGAGAAGAUAGAUGAAAUAAAGAAUAUGGACAAACUUACUUGGUAUUUGAAAGAAAUCAGAGGAAAACCGAUAAAGAAGACAAACUGGGAAAAAGUGGACAUGCAUUUUCAACAAAGGUAUAAGAAGAAACGAACCGGGACAAUGUAAGAAAGUUAACCUAAAAAAACACAGUACCGAGAUAAGAGGAAAGAACGGAAGUUUUGUUUUGUAGCAACCCCCUCCCCUCCUUUCCUAACCCUGACUUUCCUCAUGUUCCUAUUUGUGUAUCACUUCUCUUUUGAACUUCCUUCCUUCCCCUCCCCCCUUUUCUCCCUUUUCUCCCCCUUCACUGUUAUCCUCACAGGUAUUCCCUGUUUUUAAAAUGUUUUGUAUGUUACAUUGUUUGUUAUCCACUUAUCUUUUCAAUAAAAAUUAAUAAAAAAAAGAAUUGGGUAAAAAAUAAUAAAGAGGGGAAGGAACCUAACCAAUUUGAACAAAUAAUACAAAAUGGAAGGGAUACAGAUGAUUAUAAAAAAUUGAAAGGUGUAACUGGUAGAAUCUAUAGGAUAUUGGGUGGAAAGUGGAAUAAAAUAAGGAGAGAGAAAAAUACCAUUCUUAAGGAAAUAUGGGAGGAGGAAUUAGAGAUGAAAAUAAAUGGAAUGGAAUGGUCACAAUUGUGGAAACAAAGGCAUUUGAAAAAUUCAUCAAUAAGAGUCAAAGAAAAUUAUUAUAAGAUAAUUUGGAAAUGGUAUUUAACGCCAUUAAAAUGUCAAAUAUUAAUAAAAACCAUCCAAAAAUUGCUGGAGAGGUUGUCAGGAAGUGGGAACAUAUAUACAUAUGUGGUGGAAUUGUAAAUAUGUAAGGAAAUUUUGGUAUAAAAUAUUUAAAGAGAUAGAUGAUAUAAUGAACAUCAAAUUGGAAAGAAGACCUGGUAUUGCAUUAUUAUCCAUUUAUAAUAACAAUAAUAUGUGGAUAAAAAAAGAAAAAGAAGCAAUAACAAAUUUAUUGACAAUAGCAAGAUUGCUUAUAGCAAGGAAUUGGAGAAAAGUAAUAAAUGUUCAGAUUGAAGAAUGGUAUAAGGAAGUAUGGAAAUUGGCAAUAAAUGAUAAGCUAACAUGCAAAUUAAAAGUUAAAAGAGGGAUAUGGAAAAAAAUGAUUUUGAGGAUGUAUGGGGGAAAUUUAUUGAGAAAGGACUCCAAAAAAGGGAUGGAUGGCUACUGCCUCAGGAAGAAUUGAGAUUUUGGUUAGACAAUACAUAAGAAAUGGCUCGGGGUGGGAGGGAGGGAUACACAGUGGUGAAGAAAUAUAGAUGGACAGAUGUUAACAUUGUAGUAGAUAUAAAUCAACAGUAGAUAUAAAAGAAUAAUGCAAGUAUUGUAUGAUACAUUAUCUAUCUGCUAUGUGAUAAAAGUAAUUAUUGUAUGAAAAAAUUAAAUUCAAUAAAAACUAUUUAAAAUUAAAAAAGGAAGACCUUGUGGGCCAUUCAGUCCAACUCUCUGCCAAGAAGCAGGAAAAUCGCGUGCAAAGCACUCCCGACAGAUGGCCAUCCAGCCUCUGCUUAAAAGCCUCCAAAGAAGGAGCCUCCACCACACUCCAGGGCAGAGGGUUCCACUGCUGAACAGCUCUCACAGUGAGGAAGUUUUUCCUAAUGUUCAGGUGGAAUCCCCUUUACUGUAGUUUGAAGCCAUUGUUCUGCUUUCUAGUCUCCAGGGCAGCAGAAAGCUUGCACCCUCCUCCCUAUGACUUCCCCUCAUGGCUAUCAUGUCUCCUCUCAGCCUUCUCUUUUGCAGGCUAGACAUACCCAGCUCUUUAAGCCACUCCUCAUGGGGCUUGUUCUCCAGACCCUUGAUCAUUUUUGUUGCCCUCCUCUGGACACAUCUCAGAAAUGUUAAUCUUUAAAAGCCUUCUGGAAGAACAACAAGGGCUAGAUUUGCACUGCCAUAUAAUCCAGUUCAAUGCAGUUAAUCUGUAUUCUGAAACUGGAAUAUAUUGCAAUGUAGAUCCAGUCAGGGAGGGGGCCAUUCUGGCCUCCCUAUGUCAAGAAAUCUUAUUUAGUUAAGUAUACCUAACUAAAUACCUGAUGUAGAAUACCAACCAGUAUUUGGAUAUUAGAAGAGGUGAAGAAGAAUUUUAAAGGGAUGUACCCCUAUCCACUUUGGAUUAUAGGCCACCUCUGCUGCAUAUCUGAACAAGAAAUACAGAGCAAAAGCUAUAUCAUUAGUGCCAUUCUAGACAUAUCUGUUGAGAAGUAAAUGCCAUUAACUCCAGCUUACAACUCCUGUCAUUUUAUUGCAUUAUAGCUCCCAUCCUGCACCAAAAAAAAUGCUUGAUAGAUAAAUAUCAGCCUGUAUUAUCUCUACAAUUCUGGGUAGACACCACAUGUUAUUCUUAAAAGGUGGUAAAUGUGACUUGUAGCCCCACACAACGUUGGGGGAUUUCUGUAAAUAGAUGUGGUGAGGACUUCCUGAUCAUGUUUGCCUUGUCAUCUAUCUACCAGUCUAGGUAGGGCUCCUUGACAUUUGGCAACUUCCUUUUGCUACUGAAAGUCUAUUCUGUUCAUCUGCUACUUGCUUCCAGCAUGGCUGGAGAAACUGUUUAUGCUGAUCUCACAGUCUCCUCUGAAGCACUCUCUCCAAGGCUGCAGCCAUGGAUCUGUGCUUCUCAGUGUCCUCACAGGCAAAAGAUCGCUCUAUGGAUUGCAUGCAUUGGGAAUGUUAUCCUUCUGGCAUCUCUGGUUGUCUUGGCUUUGCAGUUGGAGAACAAGAAAGGAAAGAGUAGGGUGAAUGACAGCAAAUGGACUAACAUGGUGGAAUGUAAUACCUCUUCAGACAAAUUUAAGUAUCAUCUAAGAAGCACACUAUGCAACCAAACCUCAGUGAAUUCCACUUGCCAAGUUUGUUCUCAACAUUGGCAUCUCCACAAGCACAAGUGCUACCAGUUCCCAUCAACAAACACUCUUAAAAGUUGGAAUGACAGCCAAGAUGACUGCUCUGCAAGGAACGCUCAACUGCUGGUAAUCCAAGACAUGGAGGAUUUGGAUUUUGUAACAAAAAAUAUGCUGGAUAUGCAUUAUACCUAUUGGAUUGGACUUUUGUGGUCAUUACCAAUGAAGAAAUGGAAAUGGGCUACAGGAUCCCAGGUCAACCAUGAUGUGUUCAAAGAACAAAACAUUCAGGAAGAAAAGUACUGUGGAACAAUAAAAAACAAGAAAAUUGUAUCUGAAACCUGCAGCACUGUGUUAAGGUGGAUUUGCCAAAAGGACCCCAUUUUUAUAUGACAUUACAUGUUGGUGCACAAGAUAAUAUGCUAUUUUGUUAUUUGCUAUACUCACAGAUAUAGAAAUAUGGAAACAGAAGUAUCAUACACAAUAAGAGUACUCUGGCUCUCCAUAUAAAAUAAGUUUGUUUCAAGAUACUAAGCUGAAAGAGAAUGCUUUACUUUCUGGAAGGUGUCAAAAGGUUGUGCUAACACAGGCAUGGGCAAACUUUGGCCCUCCAGGUGUUUUGGACUUCACCUCCCACAAUUCCUGGUCUCAGGCUUCUUCCUUUUCACCUUCCGCCAAGCGGCAGAGUGGGGAAAGGGCCUGAGGCCAGGAAUUGUGGGAGUCCAAAACACCUGGAGGGCCAAUGUUUGCCCAUACCUGGGCUAACAGUAUGAUUGCAGGUCAGCUUGUACACUUUGUGAUUCAUGAAGGCACAGUUAUCUUGCUUUCUGUAUUGUUAAAGCAGUAUCUGCAGAGAAAAGAGUCUUAAUCUGAAAACUAUGCAUACGUCAGCUACAUGUCCUGUCUACAAACCUUACAUAUUUAUGAACGUGAAUGUGGGUCUAUGGACAGGUAUCUUUAAGAAAGAGAUGACUAAAACAGUGGAGAUUGGAAGUGCCAAGCACAGUUUAAGAAGCCUCUGGCAAUGAUGCUCCCUUUCUAUAGUGUUUUUACAGUUUACACCUCUCAGCUGCAGUUUUCCUUGUCUUCUGUAUAGCUGGACGUUUCUGUACAGCAUCAGCACAUAGAGAGGGAGGCCUUUAGAAACAGACAUGUAGUACUGGAUUGUGCAGUUUGUCUGCUAUAACCCUUGGAAUAAAACUUGAGUUGAAAUGGGGUUCUAGUCCAGCUAAUCCUACUAUAGCUCUGUGUUCCUCCCCACAACAAAAAAGGUAAACAGUAGUUGUCUUCAGGAUCUCAUAAUCAUACAUGAACAGCAAGCAAUUUACUGCACCACUAUCCCCAUUUUAUUUUGAAAAGCAUAGAUAUAAGUUUGAUGAGAAACAGAAAUCAUAAGAAUAGUGGAGGUUAGUGAAAGGAAAAAAAACCCUCAGUCUCUGGAAAAUUCAGAUAUUAUUGUUGUUGUUGUUGUUGUUGUUGUUGUUGUUGUUGUUGUACAGGGGUUGCCAGGGCUCUUUCUUUCACAUUUAACAUGUAGUUGUUAUUCGUCUGGAAUAAAACGUUUGCUGAAA